rnacentral:rRNA from 1 species
CAUUACCGAACUGUCAACACGAGUUGUUGCUGGUCCUCAAACGGGGGCAUGUGCACGCUCUGUUUGUACAUCCACUCACACCUGUGCACCCUCCAUAGUUCUAUAGCCCUGGGGCUCUGUCCCCCUUGUGCCGUGGUCCUAUGUAUUUACACACACACGCUGUAAUAAAGUCUCAUGGAAUGUAUGCCGCGUUUAACGCAAUACAAUACAACUUUCAGCAACGGAUCUCUUGGCUCUCGCACCGAUGAAGAACGCAGCGAAAUGCGAUAAGUAAUGUGAAUUGCAGAAUUCAGUGAAUCAUCGAAUCUUUGAACGCACCUUGCGCCCUUUGGCUAUUCCGAAGGGCAUGCCUGUUUGAGUAUCAUGAACACCUCAACUCUCAUGGCUUGCCAUGAUGAGCUUGGACUAUGGGGGUCUUGCUGGCCUGUGGGGCCAGCUCCUCUCAAAUGAAUCAGCUUGCCAGUGUUUGGUGGCGUCACGGGUGUGAUAACUAUCUACGCUUGUGGUUUUCCACCAGGUAAACCUUCAGCAAUGGAGGUUCACUGGGGCUCAUAAAUGUCUCUCCUCAGCGAGGACAGCUCUUUGAAUGUUUG